GGUGAGCUGGCUGAGUGGCUGAAGGCGCACGCCUGGAAAGUGUGUUUAGGUUUACCCCUAACGAGAGUUCGAAUCUCUCGCUCACCGCCA
rnacentral:tRNA from 1 species